GACGUAGGGCGCAAGCGUUGUCCGGAUUUAUUGGGCGUAAAGAGCGUGUAGGCGGCUUGGUAGGUCCGCUGUGAAAACUCGAGGCUCAACCUCGAGAUGUCGGCGGAAACCGCUUGGCUAGAGUCCGGAAGAGGAGGAGUGGAACUUCCCGGUGUAGCGGGUGAAAUGCGGACAGAUAUCGGGGAAGAACACCUAUGGCGGAAGGCAGCUCUCUGGGACGGUACUGGACGCUG
rnacentral:rRNA from 1 species